AUACAUCGGAACAUGUCCUGUAGUGGGGGAUAGCCCGGCGAAAGCCGGAUUAAUACCGCAUACGAUCUGAGGAUGAAAGCGGGGGACCUUCGGGCCUCGCGCUAUAGGGUUGGCCGAUGGCUGAUUAGCUAGUUGGUGGGGUAAAGGCCUACCAAGGCGACGAUCAGUAGCUGGUCUGAGAGGACGACCAGCCACACUGGGACUGAGACACGGCCCAGACUCCUACGGGAGGCAGCAGUGGGGAAUUUUGGACAAUGGGCGAAAGCCUGAUCCAGCAAUGCCGCGUGUGUGAAGAAGGCCUUCGGGUUGUAAAGCACUUUUGUCCGGAAAGAAAUCCUUGGUUCUAAUAUAGCCGGGGGAUGACGGUACCGGAAGAAUAAGCACCGGCUAACUACGUGCCAGCAGCCGCGGUAAUACGUAGGGUGCAAGCGUUAAUCGGAAUUACUGGGCGUAAAGCGUGCGCAGGCGGUUUGCUAAGACCGAUGUGAAAUCCCCGGGCUCAACCUGGGAACUGCAUUGGUGACUGGCANGCUAGAGUAUGGCAGANGGGGGUAGAAUUCCACGUGUAGCAGUGAAAUGCGUAGAGAUGUGGAGGNAUACC
rnacentral:rRNA from 1 species